rnacentral:rRNA from 1 species
AUGAACGCUGGCGGCGUGCCUAAUACAUGCAAGUCGAGCGAACAGACGAGGAGCUUGCUCCUCUGACGUUAGCGGCGGACGGGUGAGUAACACGUGGAUAACCUACCUAUAAGACUGGGAUAACUUCGGGAAACCGGAGCUAAUACCGGAUAAUAUAUUGAACCGCAUGGUUCAAUAGUGAAAGACGGUUUUGCUGUCACUUAUAGAUGGAUCCGCGCCGCAUUAGCUAGUUGGUAAGGUAACGGCUUACCAAGGCAACGAUGCGUAGCCGACCUGAGAGGGUGAUCGGCCACACUGGAACUGAGACACGGUCCAGACUCCUACGGGAGGCAGCAGUAGGGAAUCUUCCGCAAUGGGCGAAAGCCUGACGGAGCAACGCCGCGUGAGUGAUGAAGGUCUUCGGAUCGUAAAACUCUAUUAUUAGGGAAGAACAAAUGUGUAAGUAACUAUGCACGUCUUGACGGUACCUAAUCAGAAAGCCACGGCUAACUACGUG